rnacentral:tRNA from 1 species
ACGCCAGUAGCUCAAUUGGCAGAGCAGUUGAUUCCAAAUCAACAGGUUAGGGGUUCAAGUCCUCUCUGGCGUG